UACAGAGGUCUCAAGCGUUGUUCGGAUUCAUUGGGCGUAAAGGGUGUGUAGGUGGCGCCGUAAGUCGGGUGUGAAAUUUCGGAGCUUAACUCCGAAACUGCAUUCGAUACUGCGGUGCUUGAGGACUGGAGAGGAGACUGGAAUUCAUGGUGUAGCAGUGAAAUGCGUAGAUAUCAAGAGGAACACCUGCGGCGAAGGCGGGUUGCUGGGCCGACACUGACGCUGAGGCGCGAAAGCCAGGGGAGCGAACGGG
rnacentral:rRNA from 1 species